GACGAACGCUGGCGGCGUGCUUAACACAUGCAAGUCGAACGGAAAGGCCCGGCUCUUGCUGCGUGCUCGAGAGGCGAACACGGGUGUAUAACGCGUGUAACCUCCACCUGACAGUCUGGUAUAACCUCGGAAAACGGGCGAUAAUCCCGGAUGAGCUUCUGCUGCACGUGGGGCGUUGGUAAAAGUCGGUGGUGGGGGAAGGUCUCGCGGCAUAUCAGCUUCUUGAGGUGGUAGUGGCUUACCAAGGCUUCGACGGGUAGCCGGCCUGAGAGGGUGACCGGCCACACUGGGACCUAGAUACGGCCCAGACUCCUACGGGAGGGAGCAGGGCGGAAGAUUGCACGAUGGGCGGAAGCCUGAUGCAGCAACUCCGCGUGCGGGAUGACGGCCUUCGGGUUGUAAACCGCAUUCGCCUGUGACGAAGCGUAAGUGAACGUAAUGGGUACAGAAGGCCAGGCUAACUACGUG
rnacentral:rRNA from 1 species